UUUUAACUCAGUGGUAGAGUAACACCAUGGUAAGGUGUAAGUCAUCGGUUCAAGUCCGAUAAA
rnacentral:tRNA from 1 species